UUAGAGCAGCACAACUCGCUCGCAACGUCGAGCCACACUCGUGCGCUUCCUAAUAUGUUCCUGUAUGUUUCCCUGAGUGUUUUUCUUCCUUAUCUUUUUUUAUAUCUGAAGUUCUAUUCCCCUCCUCUACUCCAUGUAUUUGAUCAUUUUUUCAAGUCCCUUGGCUGAACCAAUCUCUUUUCAUGCAGAGGAUAAAAAGAGAAAAACUUCAAAGUAGGUUCAGGUAAUUAACAGCUGAGGGGAAUAUAAUCUAAACCAUAGGCCCUGCUUUGCACCCAGGUCUGCUUUCAGAGCCAGCCGGCAAGGGAGUGCCUAUUCCCUAUAGCAUCCAAAUCUGCUUCCUCUGAACAGCUUUGCCAGGCCUCCAGUUAUCACAUCUGCAUUUCAAACACCAUGUCUCUGGCAUUAAUUAUUAAUUAGCCUACAGUCACCCCAGAGGAUUUAAGUUCCAGCCUGCACAUACUUAUUCAUUGACCUCUAUCUUAGUUUUUGUUGGAAAAAACCCACUAGAAUGCUUAAUAAUUUCCUUUCUCUCAGACCCUCUGUUCUGGUUUCAUGGAGGGGAAACAGUAUAUUUUCAGAGAUGGAAAAUCACAGGGUUGUCUAGAAAUUUGUUUAGAGCAAAACGCUAUGUCAAGAGUUUGAACAAACCAUUUCAAAAGAUUUAGAAGGAAUUUCGCGUGGAGUUGAAUACAAUGCCCGCAUUUGUGGUUAACUACAAGCAAUACAUUAUGAAGAUGAUGGUAUUCAGACACAUACCCAAACAAUUUGAUUCAGAUAAAUUGGAUACAAGACUUCGACCAGCAUGAGAAGAACAGGCAUCAUGGAGAGAGGCAGCAUCGCAGACCUGCUGGAGGAGCUCAGCAGGAGAAGAGCCAGUGCCGCACCGACGAUGUGGUUUGAGCAGAGGUCUGUGGUGGUCCAGCUCAUUGGAAACUUUCGUUCUCAAACCAGGAGGGUGCUAUAGACAGAGCUAAUCUGCGAGGUUCUUGAAUCCCACCGAGGAUGCACAGAGCUGAUCUCUAAGUCUGUGAUAUCUGCUGCCGCUGUAAGUGUGAAAAAGAGAUGCCUCUACCUGCUCUUUCUCAGUGCCCUGUAAUAAAAAACGCUUUUGGAGCAACACUGGAAAUAAGCCAUCAAACUAUCUGAUUAAACCUCUUAGGAAACUGUCACUAAUCACCUUCUCUGCUCUUGAUGGAAUAUAUUUAUGCAUUAUAAAUAUACUUACUAUGUGUGUGUGCUCCAUAAAUCACAUUCAGCACUUGUAUAUGAUGUAUAAGCAUAUUCUAUAGAAUACACACAAAUACAGAUGCCAAACUCCCACAGAGUUCAUCACUGGAAAAUGUUUGAAGGAUCUGAUCCUUAAUAUUUAAUGAGCAAGAUGCUAUUUCCUUCCUCAGCUUUUAUCUCUGGUUUGGCAUAGUCAUUAAAUUUGUUGUUUCCUUGCAAGAUUAUAUAAUUUAUGACCUAAUUUUAGACUUCUGUGUAACUGCGCUAAAAUACUCGUUGCGUAUCUGGAUUUCUUCACGCGGAGUGUUUCAGCAUUAGACACCUGCCAGAACAUGACUGCUCAGCUACGAGCUUCCCAUCAGUAAGGAGUUACAGGCAUUAAAGGAAAACAGCCCAACAAUAUUCAUACGGCAUUACAGGAUUAGAUUAUGUUUGUGGUUGGGUUUUUUUCCCUGUAAAAAUAUGAUUUAGCAGCAUUUCCAAAGCCCGCUGUCUGCAGCGGUUGGCAGGAAUCCCCAGGUAAUACACUAAUCACCCAGCAACUCCUAUUGCUUAAAAUAUUUUCAUGUAGCAGCUUCUGACUUUCAGACCACUCUGGGACAAAUUCAUGCAGCCUUCAUCACAGGGAGGGAUGUAGGGAGCUGGGGACAGCGGGUGAAGAAUGACACUUACUGCUUUAAAGUGACUUUCAGUCCCCUCGCCCUUGGGAAGGAACCGUUUGCUCUGCAGCACCAGCCUGGCUGGGCUGAUUUUUUUGCUGCACAAGGUGUUGCCAGAUAACUCCUAAAUGAAUUACGCUAAAGCUGCAGCCGCAUUUUUUUUGUGCCUUCUGUGUGUCCAGGGUAAUUCAGCGGUGUCAUAAAUAGCGCCAUGAGUUUCAGGUAUUUUGUCAAUUUAAACCAUAUUGUUUGGACCAGUCUUUCAUCAAAUUUAAUAUAUCGGCUAUUGCAUUAAUGCGUUUUGAGAGCACUUUAUUCUGCUGUUUAAGAGGGAAGUGGCUCGUGGUUGAGGACAAGGUUAGAUGCUGGCCUUGUGGCCGCAGCGCAGUAAUGAGGCUUUUUUCCUCUUUUUCUACCUUUGCCCGAGCUAUCUAGCACGGGUGCCAGAGGUGGGGUGCUGCACCCUCAGACCAGCACCCAGAGCGAUAGGGACCACGUACCUGCAGCCGAGUGCACCCCUCUAACAUGAUAACCCCUCCAACUUAAUGCAGCUUACGGGCUGAGGCUGGUGCCUACACAAAAGAAAAAUAAUCCUUGUGAAAAGGUGACAUUAUUUCUUGGAAUAAGAUAGAUUGGAGAGUGUAUCUGCUUGGCUUUAAUGGAGCAGUUCCAGGAAAGCAGCAGUGACCAAAGUGUUUUCAGUAUCACAUAAUUCAAGAGUAAAAUCAUAAUUCCAAUUACCAUUUCAGCCAUUUCUGGCCUUGGGAAACCUAUGCUAAUAUUUAUUAUUGUAUGAUUGACCUACGAUUUCUUCAUCAUUUACAUUAGCAACUAUGAUAUUCAUAGUAACAUCCUUUAAAUCAUAUAAGCAGAUGUCAGCAGUGCAUGAUGAAGUCACAUCCUGCAGAUUUUUUAUUUACUUAGUCCAUUUUUUUCCUGGUAAAAUAACAUUGUGAGAUGCAUAAUCUCACCUCCACGAGGCCUCUAGGGGCAUAUAUAAUCACAGAAUGCAUUUUCUAUAAUCUCACAAAAUGAGUCAAUUCUAUCUGAGGUACAAACAGUUAUACAAAGUCAGUAUUUCACUUCCAUCAUUGCCUGACAUCAUCUUCCACACAGUGCAAGAAAAUAUUUACUUAGCUCUUUGACAUGAAUUGCCACAAAGCCCUUGGAACACAAAAUUGAGGAAAGCGAGGAACUAAAAUGGAAUAACUUGGUUUAAAGAAUUUAGCCCUUUUUCUGGGUGAAGGAUUUAGGUUUGUAACUUUGUCAGAUGCUUUCUUAUAAUAGCUGCACUGGCCAUAGACACCUCUAAUCUCUGUUCUUCAGUGAAAUGCCUACGCACAAAUCAGAGGGUUGCCCAGAAUAUCCAAAGCUGGAAGCUGAUCCUCCUUCUUCUCCAUCUAAACAUUUUCUUUGCCCAAGCGCACAUUUGCCUGGGUGAAUUAAACUACUGCAUUUAUUUUCCAGGCAGCUUCCCAAGGCAUGUUGUUUCUGAUGCUUUUCCAUGCAAAGCACUGCAGAGCAGGCAAUACUUGACAAUAACCUCCCUGAAAACAGCUUAUUGUUCCAUACAGGCAUUACCAGCUGUAAUUCUUAUUAGCUCUAAGAUAACUUUUAAUUCUUUCUGACCCUCCCAGCACAGGAGAGGGCACCGACAGGCUUUUUGGAGUCGGACCGGUGCGUUCCCAGCUGGGAAGCACAGCCGCUUCCGCACCGCGCAGGCGAGGUGCCAAGGGCAGCCUGGGGCUUGUCACCGCCUUCAAGCAGAGUUGAUAUAAUUGUAUUUAUCCAUGAAGGGAGAGUAAAAUUUUUUUCAGAUUGUGCCGGUGAUGCUCCAAAACUAAAAAGUUUUAGUUCUCCCUUUGUCUCCCGUACCCACUACUCGUCUCCCUGCCUUGAUCCAGGUCCUACUUUUGUUCACCUCCAAGAGCACGGCCGGGUGCCUUUCAGCAUCUCCUCGGGAAAAGUGCCACAUCUGCGGAGCUCAGGAAAGCGGGACCCAUCGAUGCCAGCCGGAGAGGGCUGUCUUUGAUCGUCGUUGUCUCUCAUCCAUCGCUUUUUUACUGAAGUUAAAUUCUUCUGAACUUACAUUGCCUUAAAGGGUUUACCUGGCUCAGCGGGUGCCAGGCUUAGGAUGUUUCAGAGAGCUUUUGGAUCAUUUUGAACAAAUUUUUAAGGUUCGUGGGCCUUAUGCAGCCUGUCAGGCAGGUGGACUCUUUUCUACUCUCUGGGCAUGUAGCCCUGAAAACGCCCUCUCGUUUCUAGAUGUAAGGUGAGGUAAAAAGGUCAGAAUAGUCCUAGAUCAUGUUUCUGAAGAUUGGCGGUGUAUAAUAAUUAUUAACAGUUUCUGUAACGGUGCAGGUUACAGACAUGGGACCAAACACCUGCAGUGAACCUCCCCAGGCGAAAUUCUCCUCGGCUUCAAUCACGGUUUUUCCGGAGAAGAGACUGCUGGCUGCGCUCAGGGCAAUCCGCCUGUUCCUGGUUUAAGAGGCACUUAUAAUCUACAGCUAAGAGACUUAUUAGCAAUGUAAAAAUGAAUUCGAAGCAAGAAAAGUAUUCUUCCUAGAAGAAAUAUAUUUUUUGUAAAAUUAGUUUUGCUGACAGAAGUAAUUGGGCUGACUCCUUGUGACUGUGGAUGUUAUUUGUUGCCCCUUAUCUCGCCAAAGCAAAGGGUACCAAAUACUUUGAACUUUGUAAAUAAUUGUUUCCAAAGUGUUGGUUUUUUUCCUCUAUAUAAAUUCUUUAGAGAAAAGCUGCCUUCUAAUCCUUUCUCUUCCAAAGCUUUUACAGCUCAGCUUCUUCCCACUCUAGAUAUCUUUUAUUUUCCCGUUUUGGGUUUUAAUAUUUCUUAGAUAUUAGAAAAGUCUCUUUUAAGGGUAAAUCUAGAGCUUUUGCUCAGAUUGGAAAAGCCAUUCCUAAAGCUUUAAUAAACUGGAGAGAGAGAGAAAAAAAAAUAAAUAAAAGAACAUUAUUUCGAGCUGCCGCAGAUGCUGGUGCUGUGGCUCGGAGAUGCGUGCCAAGAGCCCGACCAGUGCCCAGAGCCGGGGUCCUGGCCAUCGGUCUGGCUGUUUUUUCUCGCUCUUUGUACCCGUCUGGUGCAAACGGCCGGCAGAGGGGUUGGUCCUUCGCUGAUUCUUCAUGUUUUCUGGGCUGGUCAGGAGCCGGGAGCUGCUCUGCCCCCUCCAGACUCCCCCACCGGUGCUCGCUAUCCCCUCGCGUGCUGGGGAGAGGGGCACGGUUUUCUUACAAACGCAGUUUUUGUGGAUUUUAUUUCACUUUGGCAACCACGGCAACAAAUACUAACACAGAAACAGGACAGAAAGCUCUCCCAGAGUGUGUGUUUUUAAAGCAGUGUCAGAGGCCUGCAGGAAAUCCACGCUUACUAUUUGCGUAAAAACAAGCACACUCACCGAUGUGGGAAAAGUGAAAUGCUGGAAAAGCAAGACAUGGCUUACUCCAUCACCCUGGAAAGUUGAAUGCGAUGGUUUUAGUUAUUUGUCUAUCUGCUAUCUAUCUAUUUGUUUACUUAUUUUGGCAAAAGACCCAACUAAUGAGAAAUGUAUGUCUCUAACCGGAGCAGUUACCUCGCCUCAGGUUCUCAGAAGCGACAAGGAUGGGUAUGGUUUGGGCAGACCUGUAUAGCCCAGAAAAAUAAAUGACAACUGCCCGUGCUCCUGUUGCCACUGGAGCGGGAUGGGUGUUCAAUCCCCGUCUUCAGCCUAAGGCAGCAACGUAAGCCAGGGAGCAGCAAAACCCAGGCAUCCAUGGGCAACUUCUGGAGCCGCAGAGGCUUUGUAGCAGAUCCCAAAGGAAGGAUCUUGUUGAGACGCCUUGUUGUGUCAGUCUCAAACCAAGGGCACAAAACCCCCGGGGUCAGCGUAGGGCUCGUCAGCCCUUCAUCUAGGCAGGAUCCAGCUGCUGGUGAGGGAUGCUGAUGUGUUUGUGCCGUGGUGCCGUUCCCCAGCUGUCCUCCGGUGCCAAGGCGGGGGCAAGUAAUUCCUGUUAAGCCCAGCUGUGAGGCUUACUUCUUGAGUCUUCAAGUAAGAACUUGAUGGUAGGAGGCUCCCACCAAGACUGAUCUUCCUUCCUUCCUUCCUUCCUUCCUUCCUUCCGUCCUUCCUUCCUUCCUUCCCCUCCUCCAAAGCCAGCGUUUUCGGGUCUUAGAUGCCACCAGCAGCUCCUUGGGCACUUGGUUGAUGGUUUGCUCCCUGACCCAGCUAAAGCCGGAAGGAAUUUAAAAUUACCAGUAUUUUUUUCUUAAAAAAAAAAAAAAAAAAAGUUUACGAUUUUUAAGAAGGCACUUUACAGCAGAGUCCAAAUGGGAACGUUUGCAUUCGAUACCAUCCGUCAACGCCACGACACCGAGGGAGCGGCUACUCCAGCUCCUCUCGUCGCGGUGGACAGAAGGAGCUGUCAGGGAGCCGCGUGCGGCCGCCGCGCCGAGCGGGGUGGGAGCCAUGCUGGCAGAGAUCCCUUCCGCAGAGGGGAUUUCUGCACUGACAAUUUUUGGCUCCUUUAGGUUACUUUGGAGCUGCACAGAAUAUGUAAUGUUCUGCACUCGCGGAGGGGCUGACAGGGAACUUAAAUACAGAUUGCAAAGAUAGAUCAUCUCCCAGCAUCACUUUGUUUUCUGCUGCUCUAAAAUCAUUUUACUUGUUCCUGCAGCUACUAUAAAGCCAGAAGAGCUCUCUAUAUUUGCUUCCCGGAUGCCUUUUUCUCCUCUGCUUACAACUAUAAAAGCAUCUUUUCAUGCUCCAAAUCAGAGAUAAAUUGAAAUCUCUGCUGAAGAAAUAAAACACAAGGCUAAUCAAAUUGUAGCACAGGAAGCAGCCUUCAGCCAGUGCAUUUUUUGAGAGCUAUUUUUAGAAUAUAUUUUUAUUUUGUCACUCCAUAUGGGAAGUCAAACCCAUAUGGUUUGGGAGAAUGGAAGGUUGUGCUUUUAUAGAGAUCUCACAAACCAUCCCUGCUCAGCCACGUACUUAAACAUGUGCUUAAAUCCAAUUGUCUGCGAUGGGACUGAAGCACAUAAACUCCUCGUGACUGGGGCCUCGGGCCCUGUCUGAGGUUGUAACAGUAUUAUUCCCUCCUGAGAUGUAAAACUAUUCCAUAUUCGUUAAACCAGUCUCCAGUUAACUUGGCUCUUCUUAAUUACGACAUUUCUUAUUCAUACACCUUCCUUUUUUUUUUUUUCCUUUUCCUUUCUUCAUUUCUUCUCCACCGUUUGGAUGCCCUGAUGAACGCGGGUGGUCCAGUACCAGCCAGGAUGCAAAGCUGACCAUCCCUAGCCAUCGCUCUCCCGCUCUUCAUAAUAGAUGUUGCUACCCUGCAAAUACCAAGAUUAAUGUAGUGUUGGGGAAUAUGACUGUAUUCUGCCCACAGCACUGCGGCACCUUCUGAGCAUGCUGAUGAAGCAAUAAUUGGCUAGAAAAGGGAACAAUUCUCCACUAUUUUUGGGGAUAAAGUGCAAUGGGAAUAGGACUGCGCAGUGGAGAAUUCAGUGUGGCAGAAGGAUGGGAAGCAUGAAGAUUUCUGAGCUGGUUUGGACGCUGCAUCCACCAAGUAGAAGGGAUGUUUUACUAGAAUUGUUCAUCAAAACUGAGACCUCGUAUGGAUUAUUCUGUUGGAAAAUCAAGAAAACCACCACUGAUUUUUUCCCCCACAAAUACAAAGCAGAGAUCUUGUGUAAAAGGAGACAAUGUUAAAAUAACCAAGCACCAGAAGGGUCUAAAAGGAAAAGCCUGAGGUUAGAGCAGAAAGAAACUGUAAAAAGUUUUAAAAGAAAUUUUAUAAAGCCAUAUUUGUAUUCAAAAUCUAUGAUCAUUUUGAAAUCAGAAUAACUACUGUUAGAUUAUUUGCUCAAAGCAGUUUUAUAGUGAGAAAAAAACCCCCAUCGCUUGUAUCCCACUUUCAAAAAUAAUUCUAUACCAUUCUGAAAUCCCAAAAGACAAUAAAAAUCACCUGGAUUUACGAUGCUCGGGUGUAUUGGAAUUAGAUGCAAGCAACUGGGUUUUCCCAGGAAUGUUAUUCUGGAAUAUUUGAAUAACAUGCCUUUUGGACCAGGUGCUUGGGUUGUGUGUGUGACGUGGGUACGUGAGCCCUAUGAGGUGGAGUCGUGAUGUCGCUGCAUUUCCCGUACAUCACUUAGCACAGCUCAACAUCAUGACCCCAGUGAAACCAAGCAAGAGUUUGCCCGUGACUUCAGUGGAGCCAGAACUUCAUCCCAGGCCCGGAGCAGCUGAUGGAGAGUGCCACGGGCUGGUGACCUGGAGCAAUUUCAAGUCAGUGCUGUAGAGGUGAAAAAAUUCCUUGUCACAUACCUGAUCUCAUCGACAACCCAGGGUACCCAAAUUUCACUUUGGAUUUUCUACUGAGUUUCCAUUCCCCUUGCAACUAUGUAGAUAAUAUGUUAGGGCAUUAUUCUUAAAAAAGUAAAGAAUUAAUUUCUUUAAGAGAUGGGCAAUUUGUAGAAGACAUGUGUGUAAUUUUGCAUUCUAAAUGUGAUUUAUAUUUACAAAUAAAUUUGCAUAAAAUCUC